CCGCCGGGCGACGCCGCGCCACCACGCGCUCGCGGGCGCGUCGACGUCUGCGUCACCGGCGCCGUCCUCUCCACCACCACUCCCGCUGCCGCCGCCGCUGCUGCUGCUGCUGUUACUGCUCCCCGAGCCGUGCCGGGCCGAUGACAAUGGUGUUAAUGGGAUGUGGCCGGUGCUGGGCGUGGCGCUGGCGACCUUCCUGUGCCUGUCCAUCUGCUUCUCCUGCUGCAAGGUCUACUUCAUCCGCAGGCGCAUGGAGGACGAGGCGGCCGCCACCAGGGCCAGGGCAGCGCGCGGAAACCUCU